UACGUAGGGGGCAAGCGUUGUCCGGAAUCAUUGGGCGUAAAGAGCGUGUAGGCGGUUCGGUAAGUCGGCUGUGAAAGUCCAGGGCUCAACCCUGGGAUGCCGGUCGAUACUGCCGGACUAGAGUUCGGAAGAGGCGAGUGGAAUUCCCGGUGUAGCGGUGAAAUGCGCAGAUAUCAGGAAGAACACCAAUGGCGAAGGCAGCUCUCUGGGACGGUACUGACGCUGAGACGCGAAAGCGUGGGGAGCGAACAGG
rnacentral:rRNA from 1 species